GGACACAUGGCUCAAAUGGUAAAGUAUCUGCCUAGAAAGCAUAAAACCCUGAGUUCAAUUCCCAGUACUGCCC
rnacentral:tRNA from 1 species